GCUGUUAGACCUUUUUACUAGAUCUUUAUCACUUUCCCCUGAUUUUUUCUAAUUCUCUAGCUUUUGGUAUGACAUCGAUUGCCUCAAAAAAUCUCACUUUUUAAAAGCUGCAAAACUUACUGCACUAUUAACAACAGUUGUAGCAAUGAGUGUAUAAUAAGAUGGAUGCAAGGUGUCUUUUGGGGAAUAAUUAUAAAACCACGCUUUAACAAUAAACCAGUAUUUGACAGUCUAAAUCUUGAAAACAGAAUUAUGACAAGCCUCUGUAUAAAAGUAAUAUGUUUAAUGAAGCAUUCAUGAUGAAUGAUUUAACUUGAAGAUAAGAUUUCAUUUUAUGUAAAUCUUUUGUCCAAAGAGUUAGCCUGUAUGUGUGUAUAUAUUUAGUUUUUCAUCACAAGAAAAAUAGUCUUCAAUCUGCUAUAAUAUCAGUAUCUAUAAUCUUCUCUACAAGG
rnacentral:lncRNA from 1 species